AGCGGCGGACGGGUGAGUAACGCGUGGGUAACCUGCCCUAUACACACGGAUAACAUACCGAAAGGUAUGCUAAUACGAGAUAAUAUAAGAGAUUCACAUGGAUUUCUUAUCAAAGCUGAGGCGGUAUAGGAUGGACCCGCGUCUGAUUAGCUAGUUGGUAAGGUAACGGCUUACCAAGGCGACGAUCAGUAGCCGACCUGAGAGGGUGAUCGGCCACAUUGGAACUGAGACACGGUCCAAACUCCUACGGGAGGCAGCAGUGGGGAAUAUUGCACAAUGGGCGAAGGCCUGAUGCAGCAACGCCGCGUGAGUGAUGAAGGCCUUCGGGUCGUAAAACUCUGUCCUCAAGGAAGAUAAUGACGGUACUUGAGGAGGAAGCCCCGGCUAACUACGUGCCAGCAGCCGCGGUAAUACGUAGGGGGCUAGCGUUAUCCGGAUUUACUGGGCGUAAAGGGUGCGUAGGUGGUCUCUUAAGUCAGGAGUGAAAGGCUACGGCUUAACCGUAGUAAGCUCUUGAAACUGGGAGACUUGAGUGCAGGAGAGGAAAGUGGAAUUCCUAGUGUAGCGGUGAAAUGCGUAGAGAUUAGGAAGAACACCAGUGGCGAAGGCGCUUCUCUGGACUGUAACUGACGCUGAGGCUCGAAAGCGUGGGGAGCAAACAGGAUUGGAUACCCUGGUAGUCCACGCCGUAAACGAUGAGUGCUAAGUGU
rnacentral:rRNA from 1 species